CCUACGGGGGGCAGCAGUGAGGAAUAUUGGUCAAUGGGCGCUAGCCUGAACCAGCCAAGUAGCGUGAAGGAUGACUGCCCUAUGGGUUGUAAACUUCUUUUAUAUGGGAAUAAAGUGCAGUAUGUAUACUGCUUUGCAUGUACCUUAUGAAUAAGGAUCGGCUAACUCCGUGCCAGCAGCCGCGGUAAUACGGAGGAUCCGAGCGUUAUCCGGAUUUAUUGGGUUUAAAGGGAGCGUAGGCGGGUUGUAAAGUCAGUUGUGAAAGUUUGCGGCUCAACCGUAAAAUUGCAGUUGAUACUGGCAUACUGGAGUACAGUAGAGGGAGGCGGAAUGCGUGGUGUAGCGGGGAAAGGCGUAGAGAUGACGAAGAACACCGAUUGCGAAGGCAGCCUGCUGGACGAUAACUGACGCUGAGGCUCGAAAGUGUGGGUAGAAAACAGGAUUAGAUACCCGAGUAGUC
rnacentral:rRNA from 1 species